UGUCUUUUUGCCUCACCUUAUAUUUUCCCCAAACUCACUGUUCUGAUCCCAGAGAUAAGACAAUCCCCCUGUGGUUUGAGUCUCCAGUGUCUUCCUAGGCUGAUCUGACAUCCCCUCAUCAAACUGGCAUUUCCUAUUGAAUUACCAGCAAAUGCAGGUCCCACUGUGUUUUGGCUUUUUUAAUGCUUCCUUCACAUCAGAGACUAGGUAAACAGGUAAAUCAAUCUGCCUUUGUUUGGGACAGAUUUGUUUAUCAACCCUCCCUGGUUACAUGGUUUAUAAACUUAUUUUUAGUACAUACAGACAACUUCUUGAAUAGCUCCUGUACAUACGUCUCAUAAUGCUUUUGAUGAUCAGUACGACAUAAGCUUUCAUUUGACACCAUACACAACAUUCUUUACAAAGUAAUACUAUGACUGCAAUGUAUUAGAUGGAGUGAGUUUGUCGGGCCUGAUAGGAGUUGCUGACACAGAGUAGUGAACCACCAAUGGGCCUCCGUGUCACACAAGGCUUCUUCCUGAAGAAAACUAGCUCCAAGAUGCAUUGACUCAGCUCAAGCUCCGAUUGUGCUUGGCAAUGUGAAGACACCACAGUCUCUGCUCCAAAGAACAUACAAUCUAAAUAUACAAGACAGACAAAGGGUCCGUUUUACAAGUAUCUGUUCCUAGUUUGCUGCGUAACAAAGUGAGCCAGGACCUAGGAGCGCCCCCUGGAACACAGCUGCCAGCUCCUCCGCCUCCUUAGACGUGGCUCUGACUCGACACCCGGGAUAAGCAAGCACACCACGUUCCACAGCUACUGCUGCAGCCCUGGCAGGACUAAAAAGUCAGGCAGACUCUGUACGUCUGCUCCGGGGCUGCAGGGGGAAGUGAGCGAGGACAGAUUUUCCACUCG